rnacentral:misc_RNA from 1 species
UUUCCGUAGGUGAACCUGCGGAAGGAUCAUUACUGAGUGAGGGCCCUCUGGGUCCAACCUCCCACCCGUGUUUAUUGUACCUUGUUGCUUCGGUGAGCCCGCCUCACGGCCGCCGGGGGGCAUCUGCCCCCGGGCCCGCGCUCGCCGAAGACACCCUCGAACUCUGUCUGAAGUUUGCAGUCUGAGCGAAAACUAAAUAAGUUAAAACUUUCAACAACGGAUCUCUUGGUUCUG